rnacentral:rRNA from 1 species
UACGUAGGGGGCAAGCGUUGUCCGGAUUUAUUGGGCGUAAAGCGCGUGUAGGCGGCCCGGUAAGUCCGCUGUGAAAGUCGGGGGCUCAACCCUCGAAUGCCGGUGGAUACUGUCGGGCUAGAGUACGGAAGAGGCGAGUGGAAUUCCUGGUGUAGCGGUGAAAUGCGCAGAUAUCAGGAGGAACACCCAUUGCGAAGGCAGCUCGCUGGGACGUUACUGACGCUGAGACGCGAAAGCGUGGGGAGCAAACAGG